rnacentral:misc_RNA from 1 species
ACACCUCAACUCUCACGGUUUGCCGUGGUGAGCUUGGAUGUUGGGGGUUUUGCUGGCCUGUGGUCGGCUCCUCUCAAACAAAUCAGCUUUCCAGUGUUUGGUGGCACCAUGGGUGUGAUAACUAUCUACGCUCGUGACUGUCUGCCAGGUAACCUUCCGCAAUGGGGGUUUGCUGGAGCUCACAAAUGUCUCUCCUCAGUGAAGACAGCCUUUUAAAC